CCAGUGAAGUCAGGUGAAGAUUUGAACAGUUCAGUUAACAUUGGAGAAGAUAUAACAUCUGAAAGCAGCGUUGUCACCACAAAUCAAGGAAACCGAGUUAUCAUCAAAGUCGGUGGGCCUCUUGAAGUUUUUCUAUCACCUCUAAUGCUGCCAGCCAUGCAAAAGCUGGUAUCUGUGUUAUUACCGAUUGUCAGUAACUUAAGUCCUGCUUUGGUAGUGGACCAUUUGCAUUCAUCAUGUUUAAGUCAGGUGGAGAAAACUGUCGACAAGUCGAAGGAAGAAACAGAGUUAUCUCAUACUCAAUUGACUGUGAAUCUCAAA